rnacentral:rRNA from 1 species
AUUGAACGCUGGCGGCGGGCCUAACACAUGCAAGUCGAGCGAUCGGCGGACGGGUGAGUAAUGUCUGGGAAACUGCCUGAUGGAGGGGGAUAACAAAUGGAAACGGUAGCUAAUACCGCAUACUCUCAGAUUUGCCCCGAUGGGAUUAGCUAGUAGGUGGGGUAACGGCUCACCUAGGCGACGCUCCCUAGCUGGUCUGAGAGUAUGACCAGAGAAACUGGAACUGGGAAACGGUCCAGACUCCUGCGGGAGGCAGCAGUGGGGAAUAUUGCACAAUGGGCGCAAGCCGGAUGCAUCCAUGCCGCGGGUAUGAAGAAGGCCUUCGGGUUGUAAAAUACUUUCAGCGGGGAGGCGGUACCAGAAGAAGAAGGACCGGCUAACUACGUGCCAGCAGCCGCGGUAAUAC